rnacentral:rRNA from 1 species
GAUGAACGCUAGCGGCAGGCUUAAUACAUGCAAGUCGAGGGGCAGCAGGAAUAGCAAUAUUUGCUGGCGACCGGCGCACGGGUGCGUAACACGUAUACAAUCUGCCUUUUACAGGGGGAUAGCCUUUCGAAAGAGAGAUUAAUACCUCAUAGCAUAUCGUUUGGGCAUCCUAACGAUAUUAAAGUUCCAACGGUAAAAGAUGAGCAUGCGUCCUAUUAGCUAGAUGGUAAGGUAACGGCUUACCAUGGCUACGAUAGGUAGGGGUCCUGAGAGGGAGAUCCCCCACACUGGUACUGAGACACGGACCAGACUCCUACGGGAGGCAGCAGUGAGGAAUAUUGGACAAUGGGCGCAAGCCUGAUCCAGCCAUGCCGCGUGCAGGAAGACGCAUCUAUGGUGUGUAAACUGCUUUUGUACGGGAAGAAACACUCCCUCGUGAGGGAGCUUGACGGUACCGUAAGAAUAAGGAUCGGCUAACUCCGUGCCAGCAGCCGCGGUAAUACGGAGGAUCCAAGCGUUAUCCGGAAUCAUUGGGUUUAAAGGGUCCGUAGGCGGUUUGGUAAGUCAGUGGUGAAAGCCCAUCGCUUAACGAUGGAACGGCCAUUGAUACUGCCAGACUUGAAUUACUAGGAAGUAACUAGAAUAUGUAGUGUAGCGGUGAAAUGCUUAGAUAUUACAUGGAAUACCAAUUGCGAAGGCAGGUUACUACUAGUGGAUUGACGCUGAUGGACGAAAGCGUGGGGAGCGAACAGGAUUAGAUACCCUGGUAAUCCACGCCGUAAACGAUGGAUACUAGCUGUUCGGAGUAAUCUGAGUGGCUAAGCGAAAGUGAUAAGUAUCCCACCUGGGGAGUACGUUCGCAAGAAUG